UCAUUCAUGUCUGAGAAUGAAAAUUGUGGACAGGAUUUGAACAAAGAGUCUGGUGUUCACAAAGAUGCAAUAAAGAAACCCUUAUCAAUCGAUUAAUAGAAUUGUUGCUGGGAAUGAGGAAUUUCUGAAUGAAGAAUUGGAUGCACUCUUUCGUAUAAUCAGCUGGCAAAAUGCAGGGAACUGAUCGUCCAAUGGCAAUGAAGAACCAAUCCAGUGAUGAUUUUGGCCAUACAUUGUAAAUCCCCACGGAGCUUUGCCAUCGUUCUGAUUUUUCGCCAUCUUGGCCCCGUUUGAGAAGAGGGAGUUUAACAGUUCCCUUCAAACAACAAAGUCCAAACUCUGGAGGCUUAUUCUUCUGGCUUUUGUUGGUCCUCUCUUCAUCCCACAUCAUUGCUUGACUUGAGGGCAUACUGCAGUUGGACCCCCGACAUCAUGCUUUGCCAGCUCCAUACCUGGUCAAUAUUAUAGAAGAUUCAGUACAACGGUAAGGUUCGAUUAGAAAUUGAAUCCAUGCUACUUUACAGUUUAAGCAUGCUUAACUUACAUGUAUAUGAGAACUCUUCUUCUGAUUCAUAACCUUCAUGAAUUACCUCAUUUUUGUCACCCACUUUAUGGCCUAAUGUUCAAAACAAAAUUAUGCACAUUAACACGUAAAACAAUAUAUUAAAGAAGAGUCUGACUGUACCAUAUACAAAAGAACAGGCAAAACAUGUUUCCAUCCAUGUAACUUGCAGCAAAGGUUUUUGCUCGUUUAUUUGCAGUCACCGAUUCGUCUUCUGCUGAUGCUGGUAAUAAUUUGGAUUUAAAAGUAUCAACACAUGGUAUCUUGUUGUAUUUAAGACCUAGGUUUGGUAUAAUGGGAUUCAUUUGUUUUACCUUUUCUUUUUUUAGAAUUCGGUGAUCGCCUUAGCAAUUUUUUCUUGUGUGUUCGACAUCGUUGGAUCAUAUAUGCUUUCUGUAUGGCUUUCUUUGUGGCAGCAUGCUUUGUUGUUUUCCUGGUAGUAUCUGUAUUAAAAGCAACAUUCAGAAUUGAGACCAUUUUUGUUUCUAUUAAAGCAUUGAAUAAGCAUUGAAUAGCCAUUUUUGUUUCUAGUGUUUUUUGUCACAGUGAUGCCUGUUGAUUGAAUAACCAUGGAUCUGUAAUAAAUAAAUAAAAACCAUUGUUAGCAGCAUUUGCUAUACGGAUUGCAGCAUCAAUAGCAGGUUGAUUCAUUUUACUGUUUCUCUUUUUCUUCUGGGUUCUGUCUAAUGCAAGAUUUGAUAUGGCUUUGGUAAUGUUUUUAGUUUUUUUUUUUUUGUCAAUCUGAGCACUGUGUUGAAGUCUUCUAGUUAUCAACUGCAUAUGGAAUGGAUCACGGAGCAAAAUAGAAAGCCUUAAUCUCCUAGCAAGUCUUGUGUCUUCCUUACCGAAGAUUGGUAGUUCGGCAGGAAGAACCAUGGCUUUGUGGUGAAGAAAAUAUGGCAGGGAUUUGUUGCAGAAGAAGAACCCUAACGUGUUAAUCUAGAUUUGGUUGUUUACCGCAAUUGGAUAAGUAUGGUAAAAAAAGUUGACUUCGAUUUGGUUUUUUACCGCAAUUGUUUGACGCUGUGAGAUUGCUCACGGCUGUGUACAACACUUAACGGAUGUUAAUAAAGUACAAUUAAGUUUUUGGUGUAAA